rnacentral:rRNA from 1 species
AGUGAGCGCUGGCGGUAGGCCUAACACAUGCAAGUCGAACGGCAGCACAGUAAGAGCUUGCUCUUACGGGUGGCGAGUGGCGGACGGGUGAGGAAUACAUCGGAAUCUACUUUUUCGUGGGGGAUAACGUAGGGAAACUUACGCUAAUACCGCAUACGACCUACGGGUGAAAGUAGGGGAUCUUCGGACCUUGCGCGAUUGAAUGAGCCGAUGUCGGAUUAGCUAGUUGGCGGGGUAAAGGCCCACCAAGGCGACGAUCCGUAGCUGGUCUGAGAGGAUGAUCAGCCACACUGGAACUGAGACACGGUCCAGACUCCUACGGGAGGCAGCAGUGGGGAAUAUUGGACAAUGGGCGCAAGCCUGAUCCAGCCAUACCGCGUGGGUGAAGAAGGCCUUCGGGUUGUAAAGCCCUUUUGUUGGGAAAGAAAAGCAGCAGGUUAAUACCCCGCUGUUCUGACGGUACCCAAAGAAUAAGCACCGGCUAACUUCGU